rnacentral:rRNA from 1 species
UACUGAGGGUGCAAGCGUUAUCCGGAUUCACUGGGUUUAAAGGGAGCGUAGGUGGGGUGGUAAGUCAGUGGUGAAAUCUCCGGGCUUAACUCGGAAACUGCCGUUGAUACUAUCAUUCUUGAAUAUUGUGGAGGUAAGCGGAAUAUGUCAUGUAGCGGUGAAAUGCUUAGAUAUGACAUAGAACACCAAUAGCGAAGGCAGCUUGCUACACAAUUAUUGACACUGAGGCUCGAAAGCGUGGGGAUCAAACAGG